GAUGAACGCUGGCGGCGUGCCUAAUACAUGCAAGUCGAGCGAACGGACGAGAAGCUUGCUUCUCUGAUGUUAGCGGCGGACGGGUGAGUAACACGUGGAUAACCUACCUAUAAGACUGGGAUAACUUCGGGAAACCGGAGCUAAUACCGGAUAAUAUUUUGAACCGCUUGGUUCAAAAGUGAAAGACGGCCUUGCUGUCACUUAUAGAUGGAUCCGCGCUGCAUUAGCUAGUUGGUAAGGUAACGGCUUACCAAGGCAACGAUGCAUAGCCGACCGGAGAUGGUGAUCGGCCACAUUGGAACUGAUACACGGUCCAGACUCCUAUGGGAGGCUGCAGUAGGGAAUCUUCCGCAAUGGGCGAAAGCCCGACGGAGCACCGCCGCGUGAGUGAUGAAGGGCUUCGGAUCGUAAAACUCUGUUAUUAGGGAAGAACAUAUGUGUAAGUAACUGUGCACAUCCUGACGGUACCUAAUCAGAAAGCCACGGCUAACUACGUG
rnacentral:rRNA from 1 species